rnacentral:lncRNA from 1 species
CAAGACUUGAAUAUAGGUAGGUUUCAUAAAAAAAUGCAUUAUUUUGAGCAAAAAGGUGAGAAAAUUACAUUUUUAUCAAAAACUACAUCUGGAUAAUAUUCAGUACGAUUAUCAAAGCAUAAAUCCAGUAAAUCGCUUCCAUCAAUACCUCCAAAGCUUGCACAGACAUAUACCACUUCCUGGAUCAACAUUUUACUCCGUAACAUUAUGCAGUUUUCAUUUAUAUGCUGUCUAUUGCUGAUGAUCGCAUUAUUUUUCAUAUGCAUCUGUUUACAUAAGAGAUCGCUAGUUUCUCCGUCCUGUUCACGUGUGUUUUUGUUUGGGAGGUUUUGUACUCAUUCAGAAGAUGCGUAAUAGCACCCACCGAGUGUAUAACAGUGAAAACACGAAAAGUCGUCUUUGGCGGGGGAAGCGUUUUCUUGUAAAAGACGAGAUAACUCGUCAAUGGCGGGGAAAGAGUUAAAAAUGUGGUAUUUUUUUUCCAUUUAAACCUGGAAAUAAACUAAAUGUAUUAGGGUUUUGAAAAAUUUAAACCAACAUUUGAUUGAAUUAGAAUUAAAAUGAGAAAGAAUGCAAAACUGAAGCACUUUCAGUAGUCUUUAGUCCCUUUUAAUGCAUUUUUAUGUGCAGUCCAUUGCAUAGAGUUAUGAAAUACAGGCACCUCCCAAGAAGGCAAGUUGUAUUUAAGGUAACAUCAAUUAUUAGUGGUGUACAUGGGUCAAUAACUCUUCAAUCUGUACUUUACAAUGCUGCUGAUCUCAACAGAAACGCCGUAUUGUCAACGCCUGUGCUGGAGGACAGGCCAAAGGCGAGCCCGGAGCUCAAGGACCACCGGGACCUCCUGGCCCCCCAGGGACUCCAGGCCUAACUGGUACUAGCGGGCCCCCGGUAAGUCACUGAAAAUCAUCUGCAUCAGGAAAUGUUUUCUACAGAACUCAUGCUCGUUGUUAAUCAAAUAUGUUACAUGGUUUUCUGGAGUAAAUAAUUCUGAUUGUUCAUUUAUGGGAUUAUGCAGUCAAAUGUUUUUGGUAUAAUAACCAUUAUACUGUAUAUUUGUAUAAGUCAGUGUCCCAG